CCUGUCCCUCAACGCAUUACAGAUGUGGCUGCUGCGUCACAUGUACGUGAUUGGGUGGCAGAGAGGAGAGAGGCUUUGCCUACACUCCAUGUUCUGACCUGUGAACAUCUGAAUGAUUAGCAGCCUAACACU